rnacentral:sRNA from 1 species
AGUUAAGUUGGCAUCAAAGAACUUAUGCUUUCAGGUAAUUUUAAAAACAUUGCAAGAAUUUCUGAAUUUACAGUACUAGAAGUGUUUUUAAAAUUACCUGAAAGCAUAAGUUCUUUGAUGCCAACUUAACU